AUGUAUGUUCGUGCUUGUACCUUUGAGAGACAGAUACAAGAGGAUGCAUUGGGUGACAACAACAACUAUUAUUAUAGUUCAUGCUCACCACCGCUGGUUGGUUCCUCCACCGUUGCACCUACUAGAGCAGUCUCACCUCAGAUUGUGAGCGCGACAUCAUCUCAAGAGUAUGGUACAUUGUCAAUGUCCGUACCUACACCAGCUACGUCUUUGCGACAAGGUAACAAUAAAGGUAUUGAUGAUAUAACUUCACAUGAGAAUGAUGCAUGCCUAGUUAACUUGAAUGCAUCAUGUGUUGAGUUACCUGUUGAUUUGAGCACACCAUCUAUUUUAGAGAAUCUUGUUACUAUCAUGAAUGUGGCAUGUGAUCAAAUAACUGAAAUACCAACAAUUUUGAGUGCACCCAUUGAAUUAACUGUUGAUACAAAAGAACCAAUUUUUAAUCAUUUUGAUAUGACCUCUAAUCUUUGUGAUGAUUCCAUGUCCAAUGACUUAUUGCAUGUUUUCUUAUUUAAGCAUGUUGUAGCAUGUAAAUUUGAUGCAAGUAAGGUUUAUUCACUAAUGUUGGGAUGGUUUAAUGGUGAACAUUUUCAAUCUUUUGAAAUGAAUAAGAGCUUCACUUAUAUGUGCAAACUGAGUUGCAAUAUUUUUAUGCCUUCUACUUCUUGUGAUAAUUUUUUGGCUUUAGGUUUUAUGAACUAUGAAAGUCACUCAUGUAUACAUGUGUCAUAUGUGCAUAAAUCAAGGGAAGCAAAAAUGGAUGACAUAUAUAUAUAUACAACAUGUACGCCUUGUCUCUUUUGUUAG
rnacentral:rRNA from 1 species